GCAUCGGUGGUUCAGCGGUAGAAUGCUCGCCUGCCACGCGGGCGCUCCGGGUUCGAUUCCCGGCCGAUGCA
rnacentral:tRNA from 1 species